rnacentral:tRNA from 1 species
GGGCUUAUAGCUCAGUUGGUUAGAGCACUCGGCUCAUAACCGAGUGGUCCUAGGUUCGAGUCCUAGUAGGCCCACCA